rfam:Schistosoma curassoni strain Dakar, Senegal genome assembly, scaffold: SCTD_scaffold0000226
AUCUAACUGACGAGUCCCAAAUAGGACGAAACGCGCGUCCUGAAU